GGUGGGUGCGGGAGAGCCAUAGGAGACCUCUUUCCUCCAAAAACUAAUAGUAAUGGCUAGGUUUAAGUGUGUGUGUGUGUGUGUGUGUGUGUGUGUGUUUAAUCAUCUAUUAAGGAAUAGCAUCACUCUGAAUUUGGAAAGGACCGAUCUGCUAUCCUAGGGAUGAAGGUUCACUGGACAUUGAAUGUCAGUUUUCUACGACUUCUCAGACUUGCACAGUGACCAUGCACUUAUGCUUUUACCAACUUCAGAAAAUGAGGAUGAGAAAAUAAGAUUUAUCAUUCACUGUUGCUAAGGGUCAUAUGGAGGUAGUUAUGGAAGUAAUAUGGUCAUAUGGAAGUGAUGUUAAAAAAAUUGUGAGAUCCGAGGAAAUUAUAGAAUUGUCAUAAAAGGGUGAUGCAAUACAAAAUAAAGUAUUACCACUUUUAUUAUUGUGAUUUUUAAAGUCCUAAAUAUAUUAGACUUAUGUUUUGGCUAAAUAUGCUUCUGUUAGAUACAAUUAUAAAAAUUUUAGAGCUAGUAAACACCAGGUGAAAUAAUCCCCUUCUUUUGUGGGAAAGGGAAGCCCAAAAAGAGUAGAUAACUUGCCUAGGGUCAUACAGAAAAUCAGAACUAGAACUAGGUUGUAGCUCCUGGACUGUCUCUAAGGUUCUGAACUUUACCUGGAAAUAAUAAUCAUAAUGUCAUGUAAAACAUAUUUAAUUUAUCAUUCAAAGAAUCAAAGGCACCAGAAGUAAAAAUAAUUAAUUGCUUUAUCAUAAUUAACCAAUACACAGCAUCUUUUAUGUGCAAAACACUUGGGUGUUAUGCCUUCAGGGAGUGCAAAGAAGAAAACCAUGAUGGUAUUUGCCUUUAAGAGACUUGAAAAGUUACAUGAGGCAUCUAGAUUUAAACAUGUGAAAAAUUGCUAACAAGAGUUAAAUAACAUUUUAGGAAGACUCCAUCUCUUUGGAACACUGGAAGCAAUGACGUUCUGGGUAAUAGUCCAUUUUAUUUUACUAAAAAAUUUUCCCCUGUCUUUUGCUUCUUGGUAUCUAUUUCCUCCUGUUUCCUUUUAGAAAAAAUAGUUGAGGGUCCCUCUGUAUUCUUCAAGUGAAUAUGCUGAGUAGAGCAUUGACGAAUUUUGAAGAUUGAUGAAUUUCAGUUAUGAAUAUCAGUUAAAGUGGUUUGAGAGAGCUGUAGAUACGUAUGAUAUGAUAGUGUUGAAUGAAAAUUGCCCCUGAAUUGGCCUUGGAAUUUGCUUUCUUGCAGAAGUUGUGGAUAUCUAAUUUUUCUUUGGUUAUUUACCCUGUCCAAAUAACGUUAAAAUGAGAUGUGCAAUGAUUUAACAAGAGUUUAUUGAACGUUGUCCUAGGACCUUUAACACGUCUGAAUAAUAAUCCUCUGGGCAGUAUAAGACUUUUCCUAUACAUUCGCUGGAGAACAUUCUUUUUCUUUCUAGACAUAAUCUUAUCUACUGAUAUUAGAGUCAUAAUUAUUAAAUAUCUGAUUUCUGAGUUACUAGUGAACUGCAGUCACCUGUCAGCUGGUAACGAUUCUGUCUCAAGUAUACUCCAUCCGGAUACACUGAAAGAGGUGUGCCCCUCACCCUUACAAGAGUUUGAUGUUAAGGUAUUUAGAAAUACUUCGUAUCUGGAAAUAAAAUUUUUCAUUAUUAGAGAAUAAGGUUAUGUUUACUUAGAUAUGACAUUGGGACACAAUUUUUAUCAAUCUCUUAUAAAUAUUUUACUUUUAACAGAAUCCUGAGAUAGUGUUAAAAAUAGCAUCUUUGAUAGAGUAAUGAAGUUGAAAUUCCAAUAUAAUUUUUGCAUCAUGAAUCAGAAUUUCUCAUGAAACAAUUAUGUUUUGUUUUGGAAUAGCACUGUAUUUUGUAGGCUGAAUGAGGUAAAGUUGUCCCCAGGAAGAUGAUAAAAAUAAGCUGAGCUGUGAAUCUUCUUUUCUUGGGCAGAGCCCUAAACUUACCUAACAUAGUAGCUCUUCUAGUUUCAGAGAAGCCUGUAGCUCGAAAAUCAUCUUUUAGUGAAGUUUCAAAAAGAUCACACAAAUUAACAGUUUUUUGAUUCUCUGCAUUAGCAGCAAAAGAUAACUAAUUGACACUUGUGAAAACUCUAGGACAAUGAAAAUUUCAGACUCCUUUUGGCUUUAUUUUAUAGGAGCCUUCAGCAUGAGCACAGUGAAGAUACUCAGCAUGUUCUUUUACUUUAACCUGGUCACAUGAUUCACUGGCAUUUGCUGAUAGCACCCUUUGUUAAAAUAUUCUCUUUCAAGGCACUGGAUGUAUUAUAUAUAUCAGAGAGAACAGAGUUUAGAUGUUCUUUUAAAAUGGUACCUUUUAUAACUCUGCUUUAUAGCUCAUGAUUCAUUAUUUAAUCAUUUGGAAACUGUUGCUCAUCAAGUCCUAAAAUCCUGUAGUUUUAUUUUUCCAGUCUUUUCUGAUCCAGAACUGUUCUUUGAAUUUGGGAAUACAAAAGCUUCUGUGUCAGAAUACAGGGUCAGCUGCUGAACUUUUAUUUUCAUUGCACAUAAUGGUGUGGAGGUAGGUGAUCUAGAGCUGGUAGGGUGGCUCUGCUUCAUGAGAUCAUCCAGGGGCUUGGUCUUUUUCUGUCCUGUAGUUCUGUCAUCCCUCAAGGCAGCAGUUCUCAAAUUAUGGUCUAGAGAUCCCUGAGAAUCCCUGAGACUUUCUCAGGAGAUCUGUAAGGUCAAAAGUAUUUUUGUAAUAAUACUAAUACACUGUUUGCUUUUUUUCUAUGUGAUGAAACUGGUGAUGCAUCAGUACGAAUCAAGGCAGUGGCAGCAAACUAUACUAGUAGUCUGGUAUUUUUACCACUAAGUACUCAGAGUGAAAAAAAAAAUCCAAUUUCACUUAAAAAUGUCUUUGAUGAAGCAGUAAACAUCAUUGAUUUUUAUUAAUAUUAAUUCUUGAGUAGGAGUAUUUAGUAUUGUGUGUGAUGAAAUGCAGGGUACACCCAAGGCACUUCUGCACACUAAAUUAUAUUGGCUAUUUUUGAGGAAAAACACUUGUGUAAUUUUUGAGUUGCAAGCUGAGCUAUCCAGUUUUUUCAUGAAAUAUCAUUUUUCCUUAAUAGAACAAGUCACAGAUAAACUAUGCUUGUUCAAAUUUGAGUAUUUGGGAGAUAGUUUCUUCAAAGUGAAUAAAGUGAGCCAGUCACUUUAAGGAAAAAAGCUGAUAGUAUUUGUUGCCAAUGGUAACAUUUGAACCUUCAAGUGAAAAUUAGUAUAGUUUGGAAAAUCUGUAUCUGCCAUAUAAACCAAACAGCUUCCUAAUACUUAAAAACUUUUU